AGGGUCAUCCAAGUCAGUGUGGUUGCACGUGAGCAACUGAAGGCAGAAUUUGGCUCAUGCUGCAUGAAGAAAGGCAAGGGACAGGAUCUGGGGAGUCCGAGGCCCUCUUCCACUCUGCCCUCUCUGUUGGGGUCCCUGCUUCUCUGGAGUGUCUGAGCCCCUCUUCCUGUUCCUCCACGUGAGCCUGGAUCUGGGUGAACUGAAGUAUUCAGAGAUCCUCUCUGUCUUGAAGUCUGUGGAGUUUGAAUGGAUCUGAAUGUCAAAAGAACAAAAAACUAACUUGGCAUAUAUCAAUAUGGAUAAAGAGCACCUGAAGAAAUGGCAUGUGUCCGUCUUUCACUUAUAAAAAUCAGAAGUAAAAGAACAACAGCCA